UGAUGAAUAUUGGUCAAUGGACGAGAGUCUGAACCAGCCAUGCCGCGUGAAGGAUGUAGGCGUUCUGCGUUGUAAACUUCUUUUGCGGGGGAAGAAACCUUGAUAUUCUUAUCAAGCCGACGGUACCCCGAGAAUAAGCACCGGCUAACUCCGUGCCAGCAGCCGCGGUAAUACGGAGGGUGCAAGCGUUAUCCGGAAUCAUUGGGUUUAAAGGGUCCGCAGGCGGGCUAAUAAGUCAGAGGUGAAAUCCCACAGCUUAACUGUGGAACUGCCUUUGAAACUGUUAGUCUUGAAUUAAGAUGGCGUUGGCGGAAUAGGUCAUGUAGCGGUGAAAUGCAUAGAUAUGACCCGGAACACCGAUUGCGAAGGCAGCCCACUAAGCAAUGAUUGACUCUGAGGCACGAAAGCUUGGGGAUCAAACA
rnacentral:rRNA from 1 species